rnacentral:rRNA from 1 species
CCAGCAGCCGCGGUAAUACGGGAGUGGCAAGCGUUAUCCGGAAUUAUUGGGCGUAAAGCGUCCGCAGGCGGCCCUUCAAGUCAGGUGUUUAAACGCCGAGCUUAACUCCUUCACCGCAACGGAAAGAAUUGCCCUUGCCCUUGCCACAGUCAGAGGGAAACAGUUGUGCAGCGCCGAAAUGCGUAGAUGUCGGGAAGAACACCGCUGGAGAAGGCGUCCUGCUGGCCCACCACUGACGCUCAUGGAAG